UACAUGCAAGUCGAGCGAACCAAUAAGAAGCUUGCUUUUUGUUGGUUAGCGGCGGACGAGUGAGUAACACGUGGGUAACCUGCCUGUAAGACCGGGAUAACUCCGGGAAACCGGUGCUAAUACCGGAUAGAUUAUCUUUCCGCCUGGAGAGAUAAGGAAAGAUGGCUAUUGCCAUCACUUACAGAUGGGCCCGCGGCGCAUUAGCUAGUUGGUGAGGUAACGGCUCACCAAGGCGACGAUGCGUAGCCGACCUGAGAGGGUGAUCGGCCACACUGGGACUGAGACACGGCCCAGACUCCUACGGGAGGCAGCAGUAGGGAAUCUUCCGCAAUGGACGAAAGUCUGACGGAGCAACGCCGCGUGAGUGAAGAAGGUCUUCGGAUCGUAAAGCUCUGUUGUUAGGGAAGAACAAGUAUCGGAGGAAAUGCCGGUACCUUGACGGUACCUGACGAGAAAGCCACGGCUAACUACGUGCCAGCAGCCGCGGUAAUACGUAGGUGGCAAGCGUUGUCCGGAAUUAUUGGGCGUAAAGCGCGCGCAGGCGGUCCUUUAAGUCUGAUGUGAAAUCUUGCGGCUCAACCGCAAGCGGUCAUUGGAAACUGGGGGACUUGAAGUGCCAAA
rnacentral:rRNA from 1 species